rnacentral:lncRNA from 1 species
UUUUCCUUCCCUCAGCAGCUGGUUCUGAAGAAAACACACUGAUGAAGUCCUUCAGCAUCUAUAGCACCCAGUUCACUUUGGUCUUGCUGUAAAUUUUCCUAGAUCCUGCUCUUUUACUGGAGACUGAGAAGGCCUCUCCAGGCUGGAAUCUGGCAGGAAAACAUCCACCAGUACGCUAACAUCCUUUUGAUGCCUCCUAUUCAUGCAUCUGUCAGAACUUCACGUUCUUUGAAAAAUAGACAUUGUGCUAUGGACAUGCCAGGAAUUUAGGACACAAAUGGGAUUUCAGCCUGGAAAUGCUUCUGUACUGUCUAAGGUGUAUAACCCACCAUCCAGAAUCCCUCCAGUGUCAGCUGAAUUCCUCGUGUUCAUAUUCCAAAGAAAACUACUGCAGUUGUCUUCAGCUGUUGCCUCUGUUGGUGGUCCUUGUAGAGGAGCCAAGGGCUGGGGUGAGUAAAGUCUCGUAGUUGAGAAAUAGGUUGGAAUUUUUGGACUCUUGUCCUGUCUGUGCCAUUAAAUCCUGAUGUACAUUGUACACAUCAAAUAGAAAUGUAAAUAGAGUUGUGUCAAUAAAAGCACAUGGAAAUAGUGUAGGUGUGCUGUG